CGGGGUAUAGCUCAGCGGAAGAGCGUUUGACUGCAGCUUAAGAGGUCCUAGGUUCAAAUCCUGGUGCCCCCU
rnacentral:tRNA from 1 species